GACGUAGGGCGCGAGCGUUGUCCGGAUUUAUUGGGCGUAAAGAGCUCGUAGGCGGCUUGUCGCGUCGACUGUGAAAUCCCGCGGCUCAACUGCGGGUCUGCAGUCGAUACGGGCAGGCUAGAGUUCGGUAGGGGAGACUGGAAUUCCCGGUGUAGCGGUGAAAUGCGCAGAUAUCGGGAGGAACACCGGUGGCGAAGGCGGUUCUCUGGGCCUGUACUGACGCUGAGGAGCGAAAGCGUGGGGAGCGAACAGG
rnacentral:rRNA from 1 species